UUUUACCCCUUUCUUCAUUUCUCUCCGGAAGACCAAAACCCAGGUUCCCUCUCUCGUUCUAUAUUUUUCCUGUUGAAUCUUCCAGAACCAACCUCUAUGAAACACUCUUGAUGAAUUAUCAAACCCAACAACCUUAAAGAUUAACAUAUCUCCUCAACUCCAAACCAGAAAAACAAUCGAACAACGUGAAAAGAAGCUAAUUCAGAUCUGUGCUAGGAGGACGAAGAUGGAGACGACGAUCAUGAUGGCAAGUGGCUGUCAGGUGAACAUCGUGGUGGUGGUGGUUCGUGUGAGAACCCGCAGGCAGAAGCAGAUUCGCAAAACAAAUUGUAGAAAAUGGUGAAAAAGGGUAACGAAGAACAGUGAAUUCAAUGGUGAAAAAUCUCUCUCACCUUUAUUUGUUGUUGAUGGUGAGGAAGAAACAAGAUUGGUUUGUGUUAAUUUGAACCAAUUUUUAGGUUUUUGGAAUUUUUUAGAAGAAGAAGAUGAUAAAAAGAUGACAAAGACGUGAGGAGAAAGAAGAAGAGGGAAGAUGAUCUUGCUAAUUAAUUGUUGAUUUGCUAAAAAUUGGAUAUUGUUUUAUUGGAGUAUUUGUGUUGAAUGAGAAGAAUUUGAUUUUACUGUGAGAAGUAAGAAGAAGAAGCAGCAACCUUUGAAUUUAAGGGUUCAGAUCUGUUUUCAACUUCCUUCCAUUUUUUCGGCAAUUAAU
rnacentral:lncRNA from 1 species